AUUUUGGACAAUGGGGGAAACCCUGAUCCAGCCAUCCCGCGUGUAUGAUGAAGGCCCUCGGGUUGUAAAGUACUUUUGGCAGAGAAGAAAAGGUAUCCCCUAAUACGGGAUACUGCUGAUGGUAUCUGCAGAAUAAGCACCGGCUAACUACGUCACAGCAGCCGCGGUAAUACGUAGGGUUCAAGCGUUAAUCGGAAUUAAUGGUCGUAAACCGUGUGUAGGCGGUUCGGAAAGAAAGAUGUGAAAACCCAGGGCUCAACCUUGGAACUGCAUUUUUAACUACCGAACUAGAGUAUGUCAGAGGGGGGUAGAAUUCCGCGUAUUGCAGUGAAAUGCGUAGAUAUGCGGAGGAAUACCGAUGGCGAGGGCAGCCCCCUGGGAUAAUACUGACGCUCAUGCACGAAAGCGUGGGUAGCAAACAGG
rnacentral:rRNA from 1 species